rnacentral:rRNA from 1 species
AUGAACGCUGGCGGCGUGCCUAAUACAUGCAAGUCGAGCGAACAGACGAGGAGCUUGCUCCUCUGACGUUAGCGGCGGACGGGUGAGUAACACGUGGAUAACCUACCUAUAAGACUGGGAUAACUUCGGGAAACCGGAGCUAAUACCGGAUAAUAUAUUGAACCGCAUGGUUCAAUAGUGAAAGACGGUUUUGCUGUCACUUAUAGAUGGAUCCGCGCCGCAUUAGCUAGUUGGUAAGGUAACGGCUUACCAAGGCAACGAUGCGUAGCCGACCUGAGAGGGUGAUAGGCCACACUGGAACUGAGACACGGUCCAGACUCCUACGGGAGGCAGCAGUAGGGAAUCUUCCGCAAUGGGCGAAAGCCUGACGGAGCAACGCCGCGUGAGGGAUGAAGGUCUUCGGAUCGUAAAACUCUGUUAUUAGGGAAGAACAAAUGUGUAAGUAACUAUGCACGUCUUGACGGUACCUAAUCAGAAAGCCACGGCUAACUACGUG